rnacentral:rRNA from 1 species
CAGAGGGUGCGAGCGUUGUCCGGAAUCACUGGGCGUAAAGGGCGCGUAGGCGGCUUUUCAAGCGUGCGGUGAAAGCUCGGGGCUUAACUCCGAGUCUGCCGUGCGAACUGGGAGGCUUGAGUCUGGUAGAGGUCGAUGGAAUUCCGGGUGUAGCGGUGGAAUGCGUAGAGAUCCGGAAGAACACCGGUGGCGAAGGCGGUCGACUGGGCCAGAACUGACGCUGAGGCGCGACAGCGUGGGGAGCAAACAGGAUUAGAUACCCUGGUAGUCCACGCCGUAAACGAUGGGCACUAGGUCCUGGGGGGAGCGACCCCUGAGGGCCGGCGCUAACGCAUUAAGUGCCCGCCUGGGGAGUACGGCCGCAAGGCUG